UACGAAGGGGGCUAGCGUUGCUCGGAAUCACUGGGCGUAAAGGGUGCGUAGGCGGGUCUUUAAGUCAGGGGUGAAAUCCCGCGGCUCAACCGUGGAACUGCCUCAGAUACUGACGGUCUCGAGGGAGGUAGGGGCGAGCGGAACUGAUGGUGGAGCGGUGAAAUGCGUUGAUAUCAUCAGGAACUCCGGUGGCGAAGGCGGCAUCCUGGACCAAUUCUGACGCUGAGUGAGCGAAAGCCAGGGGAGCAAACGGG
rnacentral:rRNA from 1 species